rnacentral:rRNA from 1 species
CAGCAGCCGCGGUAAUACGUAGGUGGCAAGCGUUGUCCGGAAUUAUUGGGCGUAAAGGGCUCGCAGGCGGUUGUUUAAGUCUGUUGUGAAAUCCCCGGGCUCAACCUGGGAAUGGCAAUGGAAACUGAACGGCUAGAGUGUGUCAGAGGAUGGUGGAAUUCCCGGUGUAGCGGUGAAAUGCGUAGAGAUGUGGAGGAACACCAAUGGCGAAGGCGACUCUCUGGUCUGUAACUGACGCUCAGGUGCGAAAGCGUGGGGAGCAAACAGGAUUAGAUACCCGCGUAGUCCCUGUCUCUUAUAC